UGGGGAAUAUUGCACAAUGGGCGAAAGCCUGAUGCAGCAACGCCGCGUGAGUGAUGAAGGUCUUCGGAUUGUAAAGCUCUGUCUUUUGGGACGAUAAUGACGGUACCAAAGGAGGAAGCCACGGCUAACUACGUGCCAGCAGCCGCGGUAAUACGUAGGUGGCGAGCGUUGUCCGGAUUUACUGGGCGUAAAGGGUGCGUAGGCGGAUGUUUAAGUGAGAUGUGAAAUACCCGGGCUUAACUUGGGUGCUGCAUUUCAAACUGGAUAUCUAGAGUGCAGGAGAGGAGAAUGGAAUUCCUAGUGUAGCGGUGAAAUGCGUAGAGAUUAGGAAGAACACCAGUGGCGAAGGCGAUUCUCUGGACUGUAACUGACGCUGAGGCACGAAAGCGUGGGUAGCAAACAGGAUUAGAUACCCUGGUAGUCCACGCCGUAAACGAUGAGUACUAGGUGUAGGAGGUAUCGACCCCUUCUGUGCCGCAGUAAACACAUUAAGUACUCCGCCUGGGAAGUACCGAUCGCAAGAUUAAAACUCUAAAGUGAAUUGACGGGUCNUA
rnacentral:rRNA from 1 species